CUGAGCCUCCUCCCUGCUCACCUGAAACCCUUUCUGUCCUCAGGGAGAUGAACUCAAAGACCUCUACUGCAGGACCUGCAGGCAGCUCUUCAGCUCCCUGCGCAACAAGAAGGAACCUGCUGCAAAGGCAGCACCUGCAGCGCCUCUCAGGUAAACAGCCUGGGCCAGGCCGCUCAGCCGCAAACGCUGGCCUUGACUCCACCUGCGCCAGAGGUCACCAGCGGGCGGCCCACGUGACAUCUGUUGUUAUUAAAAUGCAAUUUUAAGACAGACUCUAGUCAAGCCCACUUACCACCAGGUGGGUGUUUAGGACAGGGUAGGUUUUCCACUAUAUCUGUUUUCCUCUUAGUUCGCCAGGCCCGCCUGCUCUGGGCCACGCAAGACAGGGACGUCAGCUUCUCCUGGAGCGCUCGCUCACUUUAUUCCAUCUCUACGAGCUCCUCAAGUAUCCCAGAGCAUCCCCAGGCCUGUGGCCACCUCGGGUCUGGAUGCCGCAUUCUCUGACAUGUGGCACAUUCUGGGUGCCCAUGGUUAUGAUGAGGUUCUGUGCCCAUGUGGCCUCAGGGCUCUUGAGACCACCCUUCAACCAGGUCUUUGCUCACCUGUCUCCUGCCCAGGGACGCCACCCAGGUCACCGGUGCAAACCUCCAUCCCCUGCCCGUUUCUCUCCAUGAUUGCAUCGCCAACUCGCAGCCUCUUCCACUUGCUCAUUCCUGGUGUUAUUGCCUGUCUCCCACUGGAAGAGAAGGCCCUCGAGUUCAGCAAUUGUUUUGCCUGUUUUGUUCACUGUGGUGAACCCCGGGCCUAGAACCACGCCUGGCACUCCCAGUAGGUGCUCAGUGAAAAUGGGAUCAUCAUGCUGACCUCAAGGGCUGCUGUAGGAUUCGAUGUUCCUCAUGUCACGGUCUCUAACCGUGUGGCACAUUCUGGGUGCCCAUGGUUACGAUGAUGGGUUUGGGGGCUGGAGGGAUCAGUGACUUUCUGCCUCCACCCCCUCUCUAGGAACAGCAGGCUGCUAAGGAACCCCACAGGCACCUGCUGUGUGGCUCCCUGCACGCUGUCCUUCUCCUGCUGUGGCUUUUCACCUUUGUGUGCCAGUCUUGCACCUAUUCAUGCCUCAAAACCCCACCAAAAAGACAAUAACAGGUGCUGGCAAGCAUGUAGAGAAACUGAAACCCUGCUGCUCUGGUGCUGACAGAGGGCACACUGCAUCGGAGAACGGUCUGACAGCUCCUCAAAAGGUUCAACAUAGAGUUGCCGUGUGACCCAGCGAUUCCGCUCCGGUGGCCAAUCUGAGGUUUCAGUCCAGGCUGUCUGGUUCCAAGGACUCUGUUCUUUACCACUUUCUAUGUGUACACCCAAAGAACUGCAAACGUAUGAUCAACCAAAAAUAUGAACAUGAACGCUCAUCGCGGCACAGUUCGUAAUAGCCGAAAGGUGGAAACAAACCAAACGCCCAUCAAGGGUUGAAUGGAUAAACAAAACGUGGUCCAUCCUUACAACAGCGUAACCUUGGGCCGUACAGAGGAGUGAAAUGUGAUAUGCGCCACGAUGUGGAGGAAACUUGAAAACAUGGGGAAUUUAAAAAAGAUCCUGCCACAUACUCAAAGCACCUGGAGCCUCUGGAGGAAGAGGAGGGACAAAUGAGAUCAAGUCAGAGGAGGAAGCUGAGGGCCCCGAGUUCCUUCCGCUCAGAUGUCUGCAUCCAGAAAGGAGUUCUGCUUCUCUCAACCUGUGUUUCUUGCAAGAGUUUAUCUAUAAAUUGCUGAAAAAUGGGUAAUCAAGUUCAGCAACUCCCUGGCAUCUGUGAUGACCUAUGGUUUGUAAUCCUAGUCAGAAUCACCUACAUAGAGAUUAUAAUAUUAAUCAGAACAAAACAGAAAAGUCGCUAGAGGAAUAACAAUAGUAAAAAUUACAAUCAGAUGAAGAAUAAAGUUUUCAAUGAGGCACAUUUCUAAGCACUUCAUACAAAUAACCUGUCUUAAUUCUCAUAAAAGUACUGCAAGGCAGGUGAUAAUAUCAUCUCCUUCUAAACAUAAAAUGCAGCACAGAGAGGUUAAGUAACUUGUCCAAGGUUGAACAGCUAGUGAGUGGUCAAUCUGAGAUUUAAAUCCAGGCUGUCUGGGUCCAAGAACUCUGUUCUUCACUACUUCUCAACAACGUCAACUAUGUAAAAUGACACACAUACAUAAACCCACAUCAAUGGUAAUGGUGGUAAUCUCUGGCUGGCAAGAUGAAAGAAGAUGUUAUGUAAUUCUUCAGUCCUUUCUGUGUGUCUGCCACAUUUUCCCCAAUGGAUAGAUGUCACUUAAAUUAUCAGAGGAAGAAACAAACUCUAUUAAAAGGAAUUUCAAGGGCCAGGCAAGAUGGAUCACACCUGUAAUCCCAGCACUUUGGGAGGCCGAGGUGGGCGGAUCACCUGAGGUCAGCAGUUCGAGACCAGCCUGGCCAACAUGGCGAAACCCUGUCUCUACUAAACAUACAAAAAAAAUAGCCAGGCGUGGUGGCACAUGCCUGUAAUCCCAGCUACUUGGGAGGCUGAGGCAGGAGAAUCACUUGAACCUGGGAGGUGGAGGUUGCAGUGAGCUGAGAUCGCACCACUGCACCCAAGCCUGGGCGACAGAGCAAGGCUUCAUCUCAAAAAAAUAAAAUAAAAUAAAGUAAAAUAAUUGUUUUAUUCUGCUUAUAAAAUUAGCAUAUUCAUU